GACAGAGGGUGCAAGCGUUAAUCGGAAUUACUGGGCGUAAAGGGCUCGUAGGCGGUUUUUUAAGUCGGAUGUGAAAUCCCUGGGCUUAACCUAGGACAGUCAUUCGAGACUGAAAGGCUAGAGUUGGAUAGAGGAUAGCGGAAUUUCCGGUGUAGCGGUGAAAUGCGUAGAUAUCGGAAGGAACACCAAUGGCGAAGGCAGCUAUCUGGAUCCAAACUGACGCUAAGGAGCGAAAGCUAGGGGAGCGAACAGG
rnacentral:rRNA from 1 species